ensembl:ncRNA lncRNA:CR45937 long non-coding RNA:CR45937
AUGAUCGGAUCCCCGCAGUCAUGAUCGCUUGCCUGGUUCUUCGGUCGGUCCGGUUCGGUUGGAGCGGUUUGUUCGGUCAGUGGAAAUCCGAAAUCGGUGGAAACCCACCAGACGGGCCCCACAACUUACUACAAGAAUUUUGAAAUCAAAACAAAAACGUAAAAGAUCAACGCACAAAAAGAGCGCGCCACUGAAUUUUGGCGGGAGACUACUGUACCGCUGGAUCGGCGAGAAUCAGUUGAACAAAACAAACCGAUAAAACCGGAGGAGCCUGUAGUAGGCGUAGCCACUGCGCUGGUGGUGGUGUGGCGUGUGUAGAAGAUCGAGAAGAACAACAAAAUCAAAAAAGAAAACUGGUCAACUUAAUCAAAGAGCGGAGAAUCCAGAAGAUUUGCUGCUCACAGAUCUCCAAAGAGCACGACAUUUUCAGAGAAAUGCAGUCUUACAUCGACGAAGAGACGCAAAGAGCAGCAAAGAGACGGAGCGACCGACCAGUGUUGCCGUGCAGCAGGUGG